rnacentral:rRNA from 1 species
UACGAAGGGGGCUAGCGUUGCUCGGAAUUACUGGGCGUAAAGCGCGCGCAGGCGGUUUCUCAAGUCAGUGGUGAAGGCCCGGAGCUCAACUCCGGAACUGCCAUUGAAACUGUGAAACUUGAGGACGAGAGAGGUGAGUGGAAUUCCCAGUGUAGAGGUGAAAUUCGUAGAUAUUGGGAAGAACACCGGUGGCGAAGGCGGCUCACUGGCCCGUAACUGACGCUGAGGUGCGAAAGCGUGGGGAGCAAACAGG